AUCAAAAUGUGGCUCAGCAUUUUCCCCUGGUAGCAAUUACUGAAUAAAAUCUGUUUUCAGUGCUUUAACUACUGUCCACCUUUGGUUAUCUUUGACAGUAGAGACUGGCUUUGUGCUAACACCUACCAAACCCCUGUCCCCAGAUCUCUUUUCAUGAAUUGUUCUGAGGUCACGCAGAACACUUACCAAAUGGAGGUUAAAGCAGAAGUGGAAGGACUUUGUGAAAAAGGGCAAAACGUGGAAACACCUCAUGGCCUUGGUGACAAAGUGCCACACAAGGCUGUAUUACCAAAUGUCUGACUUAAGAAAAAAAAUUAUAAAAGAAAGACAGACUGAGAUUGAAAGCAUCCGAAUUUUAUUCCAGCGACUCAAUCCCCAUUGUGUGGAGUAGACCAGAAUGAAUAAAUUGAACUUUGUAUAUUCAGCAGCUCAAUUAUUAAACAUAUCCACAGAAACUCAUUCUGUCAAAUUAACUGUGGAGGUUGUUGUUGCUGUUGCAGAGGAGAGCUCACUGCACUCAUGGAGAGGGGAGAAAGGACCUGACUUUUGGCAUGACUGCUUUUGGCCCUAUGAACGAAUGUUCUCCUAGCACUGGAAAGCUGGUGAACUUCUCCUAAACAACAACAGCACCAAUAUAAAUAUCAAUGAAGAUAAAUAUACAUCUGGAGAUUACAAACAGCCUCUGUCACUUCUGAGACAAGACCAACCGCUUCUCUUCCUUUUCCUCCUCAGCCUACUCAACC